CUACGGGGUGCAGCAGUGGGGAAUAUUGCACAAUGGGCGCAAGCCUGAUGCAGCCAUGCCGCGUGUAUGAAGAAGGCCUUCGGGUUGUAAAGUACUUUCAGCGGGGAGGAAGGGAGUAAAGUUAAUACCUUUGCUCAUUGACGUUACCCGCAGAAGAAGCACCGGCUAACUCCGUGCCAGCAGCCGCGGUAAUACGGAGGGUGCAAGCGUUAAUCAGAAUUACGGGGCGUAAAGCGCACGCAGGCGGUGUGUUAAGUCAGAUGUGAAAUCCCCGGGCUCAACCUGGGAACUGCAUCUGAUACUGGCAAGCUUGAGUCUCGUAGAGGGGGGUAGAAUUCCAGGUGUAGCGGUGAAAUGCGUAGAGAUCUGGAGGAAUACCGGUGGCGAAGGCGGCCCCCUGGACGAAGACUGACGCUCAGGUGCGAAAGCGUGGGGAGCAAACAGGAUUAGAUACCCGAGUAGUC
rnacentral:rRNA from 1 species